UACGUAGGGUCCGAGCGUUGUCCGGAAUUACUGGGCGUAAAGCGCACGUAGGCGGAUUUGUUAGUCAGGGGUGAAAUCCCGAGGCUCAACCUCGGAACUGCCUUUGAUACUGCAAAUCUCGAGUCCGGAAGAGGUGAGUGGAAUUCCUAGUGUAGAGGUGAAAUUCGUAGAUAUUAGGAAGAACACCAGUGGCGAAGGCGGCUCACUGGUCCGGUACUGACGCUGAGGUGCGAAAGCGUGGGGAGCAAACAGG
rnacentral:rRNA from 1 species